rnacentral:rRNA from 1 species
UAUACAUGCAGUCGAACGCUUCUUUUUCCACCGGAGCUUGCUCCACCGGAAAAAGAAGAGUGGCGAACGGGUGAGUAACACGUGGGUAACCUGCCCAUCAGAAGGGGAUAACACUUGGAAACAGGUGCUAAUACCGUAUAACAAUCGAAACCGCAUGGUUUUGAUUUGAAAGGCGCUUUCGGGUGUCGCUGAUGGAUGGACCCGCGGUGCAUUAGCUAGUUGGUGAGGUAACGGCUCACCAAGGCCACGAUGCAUAGCCGACCUGAGAGGGUGAUCGGCCACAUUGGGACUGAGACACGGCCCAAACUCCUACGGGAGGCAGCAGUAGGGAAUCUUCGGCAAUGGACGAAAGUCUGACCGAGCAACGCCGCGUGAGUGAAGAAGGUUUUCGGAUCGUAAAACUCUGUUGUUAGAGAAGAACAAGGAUGAGAGUAACUGUUCAUCCCUUGACGGUAUCUAACCAGAAAGCCACGGCUAACUACGUGCCAGCAGCCGCGGUAAUACGUAGGUGGCAAGCGUUGUCCGGAUUUAUUGGGCGUAAAGCGAGCGCAGGCGGUUUCUUAAGUCUGAUGUGAAAGCCCCCGGCUCAACCGGGGAGGGUCAUUGGAAACUGGGAGACUUGAGUGCAGAAGAGGAGAGUGGAAUUCCAUGUGUAGCGGUGAAAUGCGUAGAUAUAUGGAGGAACACCAGUGGCGAAGGCGGCUCUCUGGUCUGUAACUGACGCUGAGGCUCGAAAGCGUGGGGAGCAAACAGGAUUAGAUACCCUGGUAGUCCACGCCGUAAACGAUGAGUGCUAAGUGUUGGAGGGUUUCCGCCCUUCAGUGCUGCAGCUAACGCAUUAAGCACUCCGCCUGGC